rnacentral:rRNA from 1 species
GGCGGACGGGUGAGUAACGCGUAGGAACCUACCUUUGGGUACGGGAUAACUCAGGGAAACUUGUGCUAAUACCGUAUGAUGCCUCCGGGCCAAAGAUUUAUCGCCCAUUGAUGGGCCUGCGUCGGAUUAGGUAGUUGGUGGGGUAAUGGCCUACCAAGCCUACGAUCCGUAGCUGGUCUGAGAGGAUGAUCAGCCACACUGGGACUGAGACACGGCCCAGACUCCUACGGGAGGCAGCAGUGGGGAAUAUUGGACAAUGGGCGCAAGCCUGAUCCAGCAAUGCCGCGUGAGUGAUGAAGGCCUUAGGGUUGUAAAGCUCUUUCACCGGGGAAGAUAAUGACGGUACCCGGAGAAGAAGCCCCGGCUAACUCCGUGCCAGCAGCCGCGGUAAUACGGAGGGGGCUAGCGUUGUUCGGAAUUACUGGGCGUAAAGCGCGCGUAGGCGGCUUGACAAGUUGGAGGUGAAAGCCCGGAGCUCAACUUCGGAAUUGCCUUCAAGACUGUCUCGCUCGAGGCAGGG